AUUGAACGCUGGCGGCAGGCCUAAAACAUGCAAGUCGAACGAGUGGCGGACGGGUGAGUAAUGUCUGGGAAACUGCCUGAUGGAGGGGGAUAACUACUGGAAACGGUAGCUAAUACCGCAUACCAUCAGAUGUGCCCAGAUGGGAUUAGCUAGUUGUUGGGGUAACGGCUAACAAGGGCGACGAUCCCUAGCUGGUCUGAGAGGAUGACCAGCCACACUGGAGCUGAGCCACGGUCCAGACUCCUACGGGAGGCAGCAGUGGAGAAUAUUGAACAAUGUGCGCAAGCCUGAUGCAGCCAUGCCGCGUGUAUGAAGACGGCCUUCGGGUUGUAAAGUACUUUCAGCGCGGAGGCGUUACCCGCAGAAGAAGCACCGGCUAACUCCGUGCCAGCAGCCGCGGUAAUUC
rnacentral:rRNA from 1 species